AGCACCACCCACCCCAACUCCCCAUUCUUCCUCUAUAUAUCUCCUCCCCCCACCACCUCCUUUCCCCCAAGGCAUCCUUUUGGCCUCUCUUCUCUCCUCUCUCUCUCUCUCCCUCUCCUUCUUGUGUAUUCUCUCCUCUCAGGGCCACUGCUUUGAUGGUAUGUGGUGCACCACAAGCAGCUGAAGCUGCCAGCAUGAUCUGAUCUCUCUUUUUCUUUCUUCCAGAUCUUGGAUGAAGAAGAUGCAUAUCAGAUCAUGUUGCAGUUUCAUCUGCUGAUGGGAGCACCAGAAAACCCUACAACCCUACUCCUUUCAUCCCCCUAAAUCCCUCCUCAGAUUUCCUGAGAAACCCUAGAGAGAGAUUAGAGAUAGCAAAACGGGAGUGGAGAUGUGCGAAGGAAGAAGAAGGCAGCGGAAGAGAGAUUUCUCUUUGGUUUCUCACACAUGGUUACUGCUUUUGGCAUCCUGGCCUCGGGGGGUGAACCUUGCCAUCCUUCCCUUCCAUCGAAUGAAGAAUCCGGAGGUCAAGCAGCAGUAGUAGAUUCACUCAUAAGGGAUACAAAGGCAGGAGGUAAGAGCUAAGGUGGUAAAAGCAGCGCAGCAGAGCCCAGGCUGGUUGAUACCAUCAACUGACUCCAGCUUCCGGCGUGCUCAUGGGACCAGUGUACUGGUUUGCCGAAUCAAGAGCUUGUAUCAACAUCGGUAUAACGUUCCACACACAGAAUUAUCUCAUCACCAGCUAACAUGUGGCACAUGAAGAGUACCAGUUCACAGAAGCGAAGUACAUUUCUAGUUUGAGGAAGGAGACAAUCUCCAAGUUGAGGGACAAGAAUGAGAUGGAAUGCGAGGGGUCUGAUGGGCAUGGACCACUUCCUAAAGGACUCUGGUAGGUCUCGGUUGGUCGACAGCAACAGCUUAACCACAAUAUCUCAAGGAGAUGAUUCGCGGGCCACAAAAGCGUACCUUUUCUGUGAUUUUCCAAGGUUCUUAUUGUUUCCAAGUAAAGAUACAGCUGUGCUCCUCUUCCACUGUUCAUGGGAAAUAAGAGAGUAGAUGUAACGUCUUGUGCGUACAUGAGUAGCAUAUUAAUUGUGGAAAAGCGUUGGGUGAGACCGGAGAAAAGUCGCAUUAUUCCAUCUAACUUCUUUUUCUUUUGCA